rnacentral:rRNA from 1 species
UACGUAGGUGGCAAGCGUUGUCCGGAUUUACUGGGCGUAAAGAGCGCGCAGGCGGUCAGAUAAGUCGAAUGUGAAAGCCCCCGGCUCAACUGGGGAGGGUCAUUCGAUACUGUUCGACUCGAAGGCAGGAGAGGGAAGUGGAAUUCCCGGUGUAGUGGUGAAAUGCGUAGAUAUCGGGAGGAACACCAGUGGCGAAGGCGAAUCCCUGGAAAAUACCUGACACUGAGGCACGAAAGCUAGGGGAGCAAACAGG